UUGACCUCAAAUCGAGUAGGACUACCCGCUGAACUUAAGCAUAUCAAUAAGCGGAGGAAAAGAAACUAACAAGGAUUCCCCUAGUAACGGCGAGUGAAGAGGGAAGAGCUCAAAUUUUGAAUCUGGCGUCUUUGGCGUCCGAAUUGUAAUCUAGAGAAGUGUUUUCCGUGAUGGACUGUGCACAAGUCUCCUGGAAUGGAGCGUCAUAGAGGGUGAGAAUCCCGUAUAUGGCACAGACUCCCGUUGCCCUGUGAUACACUCUCGACGAGUCGAGUUGUUUGGGAAUGCAGCUCUAAAUGGGUGGUAAAUGCCAUCUAAAGCUAAAUAUUGGCGAGAGACCGAUAGCGAACAAGUACCGUGAGGGAAAGAUGAAAAGCACUUUGGAAAGAGAGUGAAACAGUACGUGAAAUUGUUGAAAGGGAA
rnacentral:rRNA from 1 species